UCCAGCUUAUCACUGGCAGUUUUCCUAGAGUUCCCGGCAUUACCCGUUGGCAACUAAGAAUGAGGGUUGCGCUCGUUGCGGGACUUAACCCAACAUCUCACGACACGAGCUGACGACAGCCAUGCAACACCUGUGUGUGGUCCGGCCGAACCGAAGGAUUCCAUCUCUGGAUUCCGCGACCACCAUGUCAAAAGUUGGUAAGGUUUUUCGCGUGACAUCGAAUUAAACCGCAUGCUCCACUGCUUGUGCGGGCCCCCGUCAAUUCCGUUUGAGUUUUAAUCUUGCGACCUUACUCCCCAGGCGGAGUGCUUAAUGCGUUAGCUGCAACACCGAGAAUAAAUCCCGAUAUCUAGCACUCAUCGUUUACAGCGUGGACUAC
rnacentral:misc_RNA from 1 species